AUAUAUAUAUGAAAUGAAAGCAUAAAAAAUAAAAUAAAAUAAUAAGAAAAAGAAUCUAAUAUUCCCCCACAAAUUUGAAUUCAAAAUAACUGAACCAAAGGUGCAAAAUCAACAACUCUAUUUUAAUAACUUGUUAAUAGUAGAUAAUAAAUGCUAAGUACAUGGAAGUUGAUGAAACCACAAAAUGUGGCUGGUGACAAAGCCACGACAACAAGGUAUAAACCAUAUUAAUGACUAAAUCCAGAUCAAUGAAGCUUCCCUUAUUUACUUAGAAAAAAGAUGGUGAAUUCAUUACUAAAAAUAUACCUUAACAUUUGGGAGUUCAGGAGUUUAAAGCCCCUUAUAGUCUCAGCUUCCAGGCUUGACAAACUAGAAUAGAUUCAGAAAUUGAAGGGAGGCAACCAAUAAACUUCCAUUUCAAGGACCUUAUUACAUGCACCAUGGAUCUCAUGAUAGAUGAGUUAGCGUCUUCAAGUUAUUU